rnacentral:rRNA from 1 species
CCUACGGGUGGCAGCAGUGAGGAAUAUUGGUCAAUGGCCGGAAGGCUGAACCAGCCAUGCCGCGUGAAGGUCAGUGCCCUAUGGGCGUUAAACUUCUUUUGUGCGGGAGCAAUAAUGGUCACGUGUGGCCAGACGAGAGUACCGUACGAAUAAGCAUCGGCUAAAUCCGUGCCAGCAGCCGCGGUAAUACGGGGGAUGCAAACGUUAUCCGGAGUUAUUGGGUUUAAAGGGUGCGGAGGCUGUGAGGUAAGUCAGCGGUGAAAUGCCCCCGCUCAAAGGGGUGAAGUGCCAUUGAAACUGCCUGGCUGGAAUGCGGAUGCCGUGGGAGGAAUGUGUGGUGUAGCGGUGAAAUGCAUAGAUAUCACACAGAACGCCGAUUGCGAAGGCAUCUCACGAAGCCGCGAUUGACGCUGAUGCACGAAAGCGUGGGUAUCAAACAGGAUUAGAUACCCGUGUAGUC